rnacentral:miRNA from 1 species
CAGUGCUGAUGCUGAUGUUGAUGUUGAUGUUGAUGGCUGUGUGUAUCCAAGAAAAAUAAAGCUUCAGAAACAUCAGCAACAGCAGCAGCAACAGCAGAU